rnacentral:lncRNA from 1 species
UACCCUCCUCAUUCUUCUUCCCCAUCUCAAACCCUCAGAGACCAGAACCACAAAACCCUAGCCGCCUCUAGGCAAUUUGCACCAGAAACACGGCGGCAACGACGCCGCCGGUCACCCCGUUAACACCGCAGAACCCCAUCACACCCUAAUGCCAAAUCCACUAACCCCUAACCUCGAAUCAAACGGAACCUUCUUGAAUCUUCAUUUGAAGAUUCGAGCCCAGAUUCAAC